rnacentral:rRNA from 1 species
CAGUAGCCGCGGUAAUACGUAGGGUGCAAGCGUUAAUCGGAAUUACUGGGCGUAAAGCGUGCGCAGGCGGUCCGCUAAGACAGAUGUGAAAUCCCCGGGCUCAACCUGGGAACUGCAUCCAAAACUGGCAGGCUAGAGUAUGGAAGAGGUGAGUGGAAUUCCGAGUGUAGAGGUGAAAUUCGUAGAUAUUCGGAGGAACACCAGUGGCGAAGGCGGCUCACUGGUCCAUUACUGACGCUGAGGUGCGAAAGCGUGGGGAGCAAACAGGAUUAGAUACCCCUGUAGUCCCUGUCUCUUAUAA